GGGACACACAAGGUUGCACUCCAUGUAUCUUCCACACACACCCAUGUGUUACACAUGUCUGUCCUCUAAAAUCAAGUUAAGAUGCACAGAAGGCAGAGGCAAGACCCCAACCAUCUUGGCACAGUGGGUCAUUUAUUCUUCAUCAUUUUCCUUUCUUGCAUCCAUUUAUUCAACCAAUGUUUCUUGAGCGCCAUCUGUGUGCCAGCCCCCUGUGCUAGCCCUGUCUCUCCACUCACAGUCAGAAAGACUCAGUCUUUGUUCUCAAGUUUCUCUACAAAAUUGCAGAUAUGGUAACAAUUGACGAGUAUACUACAGCAUGCUCUGUGCUGUGAUAGGUGAUUGCACCUCACCCAGCCUUCAGGAGGCAGAAAAAACGUUCCAAAGGAAUGACAGUUGAGCCAGGGCUUGGAAGUGUUAACUGAACAAAAGUGUGUGUGUGUGUGUGUGUGUGUGUGUGUGUGUGUGUGUGUGUGCGUCUGUCUGUCUGUCUGUCUUGAGGGGCUGAGAAUGGGAGGGAAGUGUGUAACGAAUUUUAGAUCUUGUGAACAAAAGAUUCAGGAACCUAACGGUGAAUUCAUUGUGUCUAAGAUGAAAAUGUAGAUUUGCGUGGUAAAAUGAAUGAACAAAUUAAUGCUUUUAUCUACACACAUUAUAAGGGCAGCUCAUGAGACAAAAAUAUAAAGCCAAAAGGCAUUUUGUUAAUUCACCUUGGUAAAUCACUAUUCCAAAUUCUGCCCAUCACUUCCCUGUAGGCAGACUCUUACAGAGAUCCAUAUCAUUAUGAAAGACUUGCUUGCCUAGUAGGUUAUUCAGUGAUUUCCUUGGAAAGCAAGCUAAGCAGUCUAUGGGGGACUGGACAUGUCCAAAGCCCAAAGGCUAGCCCAUUGGUCAGCAAUGACUUUCCUGAACAUUGCUUGGAUGAGAGCUAUGGGAAGGGUGAAUGACUGAAAAGGAUAUCAAAAUCUCAAGGCUGUGCAUAGAAGGGAGGGUGGCUUAGUCUGUUCCGAUGCCAGAGGCUGAUUGCUAUCUUGAAAAGUAGGGACUCUGGUCUUUACUUGUGGUGUGGCAUUAGCAAGUAGUGGUGCUCUAACCUGUACAGCAGAGUGGUCACAGGCAAUGGCUAAGGUCCCUUCCAGCUCUGGAAUUCUAGGUUCGUUUUAGUUCUAUAACUGAGGAGAGGGAGGUGGUGAAUGCUUAUGGGCAUCAGCCCUGUAGGAGGGUACUCACUCUUCCUGAAGCAUGGGCAGCUCCUGGCCCCAAGCGCUCUGAGAAGCUGUCCUAAUCUGCCAUACUCAUGGGUGGGUUCUGGCUGUCCACCACCUGUCUUCCUGCAGAGCCACGAGUGACCACACUCCUGCUGUCUGCCUCCUUCCCCUGUGUCUGUUCUUCGACAGUGAUCUGAGAGGUGGACUGUUCCUGAUGUAGCCUUUCCUUGGAGUCCAUGCAGGGAGCCUCUGGUCUGCUGUCUUCCCUCCCCGCCUCCUGCUCUAAAGCCAUCCCGCAAGCAUUCAGCUCUCAGGCCCUCGAUUGACCACCUGUGUGGCCUUGGUCAGGGUUCUUAAUCUCUCUGUGUCUCAGUGUGGAUAGUAAAUAACCUCCUGUGUUAUUUGUAAAGAUAAAUGAGAUAAUGCAUAUAAAGCAAUUAGAACAGUGUCGGGCAUAUCAUAAGUACCAAGUGCAUUGCUGCCUGCCUUCCUCAAAUACCUGCUGCCUGGUUCUCAGAUGAGCAUUAGGGAUGCUGAGGUAUACAGAACCCUGUCUGCCUUGAGGAGUCCUGUCCCUGCUGUUUACUGAGUGUCUCCUGUGAGGCACACACUUUGCUUGGGUUACCUCAUUGAGUCCCCACCACAAUCUAAAGUGGUGCUUACUCUUCUCAGAAUUCUUCUCAGACUGCAGCCCAGAGACCAGAGAAGUCAUGUGACAUUCCCUGUGGCAAGCAGUUCAUAAAUGGCGGCAGUGGAAUCGGAGCUCAGGUCUCUCAGGCUCCGGAUCUAGUGUUUUUCACCCCACCUCACUCAGGCUGCCAUUGCCUGACUUGUUUCGAAAGGAAAAAAAAAAAA
ensembl:lncRNA